rnacentral:tRNA from 4 species
GCGCAUGUGAUGUAGUGGUAACAUAGCUCACUUCCAAUGAGUUCUCAUCGGUUCGAUCCCGAUCUUGCGUA